rnacentral:lncRNA from 1 species
AACUUGCCCAUUACUCUUUCCAGAUUUUACAGGAGGCUCCGAUUGGCUCUCCCCGAGUCACGUGCUGCCUGCUGGCCCAGCACCAGUAGCCUGGAGUGUGAAAUUCAUGGGAUCUCACUCCUAAAUUCAAAAGUUAAGACAAUGAGGACGGUUAUCUUACAAGACCUAAUGGCCCUUGACAUGCUAACAGCAGCGCGAGGAGGAACCUGUGCCAUCAUUAGAGUGCUGUGUAUAUAAACCUGACAACUGGGACAAUAUGUCCUCAGUCCUCCAAGAUUUACAUACUCAAAUUAAAUCUCUGUCAGGCCCU